rnacentral:rRNA from 1 species
AUUGAACGCUGGCGGCAGGCCUAACACAUGCAAGUCGAGCGAUUUUGGCUUCGGUCAGAAGAGCGGCGAACGGGUGAGUAACACGUAGGAAUCUGCCUGGUAGUGGGGGACAACGUCUCGAACGGGACGCUAAUACCGCAUACGCCCUACGGGGGAAGGCUGGGGACCGUCGGGCCUAGCGCUAGCAGAUGAGCCUGCGUCGGAUUAGCUAGUUGGUAGGGUAAAGGCCUACCAAGGCGACGAUCCGUAACUGGUCUGAGAGGAUGAUCAGUCACACCGGAACUGAGACACGGUCCGGACUCCUACGGGAGGCAGCAGUGGGGAAUAUUGGACAAUGGGGGCAACCCUGAUCCAGCCAUGCCGCGUGUGUGAAGAAGGCCUUCGGGUUGUAAAGCACUUUAGGUCGGGAGGAAGGUUUGCUGGCUAAUAUCCAGCAGAAUUGACGUUACCGACAGAAUAAGCACCGGCUAACUCCGUGCCAGCAGCCGCCGUAAUAC